rnacentral:rRNA from 1 species
UCCUAGCUGUAAACGCUGUCUGCUAGGUGUUACACGUCCUUCGUGGGCGUGUAGUGCCGAAGCGAAGGCAUUAAGCAGACCGCCUGGGGAGUACGGUCGCAAGGCUGAAACUUAAAGGAAUAGGCGGGGGAGCACAACAAGGGGUGAAGCGUGCGGUUCAAUUGGAUUCGACGCCGGGAAUCUCACCAGGGCUGACAGCAGCAUGAAGGUCAGUCUGAAGGGCUUACCGACGC